rnacentral:rRNA from 1 species
CUUGUUCGCGAUAAGAAUGAAACUCUUGCGCAGGUGCUCAGUUCCUUUCCACCAGAUAUUUCUUUCAAGCGGGAUUUGAUUGGUCCCCGUCUUGUGUCAUGGCAACAUAUUUUGUCCCGAUUGGAUACGAUUAGUCUGACAUAAGGACGAGAUGUGUUCCGCUGGAACCUCACUGCAUCUGGGUCCUUCACAGUC